rnacentral:rRNA from 1 species
ACGGGUGAGUAAUGUCUGGGGAUCUGCCCGAUAGAGGGGGAUAACCACUGGAAACGGUGGCUAAUACCGCAUAACGUCGCAAGACCAAAGAGGGGGACCUUCGGGCCUCUCACUAUCGGAUGAACCCAGAUGGGAUUAGCUAGUAGGCGGGGUAAUGGCCCACCUAGGCGACGAUCCCUAGCUGGUCUGAGAGGAUGACCAGCCACACUGGAACUGAGACACGGUCCAGACUCCUACGGGAGGCAGCAGUGGGGAAUAUUGCACAAUGGGCGCAAGCCUGAUGCAGCCAUGCCGCGUGUAUGAAGAAGGCCUUCGGGUUGUAAAGUACUUUCAGCGGGGAGGAAGGCGAUGUGGUUAAUAACCGCGUCGAUUGACGUUACCCGCAGAAGAAGCACCGGCUAACUCCGUGCCAGCAGCCGCGGUAAUACGGAGGGUGCAAGCGUUAAUCGGAAUUACUGGGCGUAAAGCGCACGCAGGCGGUCUGUUAAGUCAGAUGUGAAGUCCCCGGGCUUAACCUGGGAACUGCAUUUGAAACUGGCAGGCUUGAGUCUCGUAGAGGGGGGUAGAAUUCCAGGUGUA